CUGCUCCUAAUAUAAAGCUAUUCCUGCAACCUGUAAUAACACACUCAAGUUAAUGGGAUAAGCACACAAAUUAUCUAUCUAGUACAAAUCCCCUUAUCGCUGUUGUAGUUAUCUUUUCCUUGAUAAAUUGUAUUGCUAGGGAGGCCUUCCCUAUAGUUUUCCAGUCAAAGUUAUAAUAAUAAAGAUGCAUAUUUUGGCACAAUUAUUCUCUAGCUAAUCCACUUGCCCUCUUAUUCUACUGACUGGUGACAAGGCAUGAGUGUGGAAAUAUUCUAGAGCAUGCAUCUCAGUCAACUGUAUGAAAGCCUUACAGAAAGAUCAAUUGAUUUAAAUUAAUGAUUGUAUACUACGUACCCUAAUAUUAUAGAGCAGCCACCAUCAAAUGAAUCAUAACUCAUGAGGAACAGACUGAAGGAUAAUGUCUCAGUUGUUACACUUGAGCAGCAAACAAAUUAAAACGAUCAAUUUAGAAGCAAAAAAAACUUUUUUAGAUCAAUCUAUCUGAGUGCAAGAGUGCAGUGCAGAGGCAGCCCUCUUGUCCAGUGAAAAAAAAUGAUGUGUGCAUACAAUGGAUACAUACACACACAAUUUGCUCCAGUUUGAGUCAUCCAAAACUAAACCAUAACAUGAUGCGCGCACACAGAGUUUGCUAUGGUUUUCUUCACGGAUGAUGAACCCAAACGUCAUGCCAUCCAAAAGGAAGGUGCAAACUAAACCAACACAAGGUACAAAGUGUAGAUGAUGUUCAGAUGUGGGGGUAGAUUGGGGGAGAGGAAAUUCACCAUGUUGGUUCUGGGUGCCUGCUGUUAGGAAAAAUCUUUAGGUUUAUUGCAAUCGGAUUAUUUGCCUAGCAUUAGAUCACCUAAGAUAUGAUUAACAAAGAGGUUUGUGAGAUCUUACAGGCUUGCUCGAUGCAGGCACAGCGGAGCCCAUGAUCUCAAGUGGCGAGGAUGAGCAGCACCAGUGGCGCCAAGGUGAUGUAGUCGUGGAGAGGCAGCAGCUCACCCAGGAGCUUCGCGGUGGCAGCAGGAAACCGCCGGCACAGCCUUGCGGCGGCUAGCGAUGGAAACGGCCUUCCCAUUGCGUAACACACCCCUAGAUCGGUAGGUUUGAGGGAAUUAAGGGGCUAGAUAUCAUGUACGUGAACUCAGGUGCCAUAAGUAUCCAGGCCCCACCCUUUAUAUGUGUGCUCGCAAUAGGGGACCAAAACCAUCUGUUGGUUAGAGGUGCCCCCGAUCAGGGCGAUUCUGUUGGGGUCAACAGCCACGUACGUUGGUUCGUGGCCCAUACCCUUAACGAUACUUUUUACCCGGUCAAAGCCGAGAUCAACCAACAUUCUCCCCCUUGAUCGUUAGGCUCAACUUCAUUCGCCCAUUUUCCAUAGGAAUAAUAUAUAGAAGUAAGGUGUUACAACAGCGAAUGUAAUGCCAUUAAACCUCAAUACUUAUAAUACAUCAGCCUACUUCAAAAUGGAAAACAUAUUACUUAAUGGGGGUGGUUUGUUUCGAAGGUCCUUACUUCCAGGAUCAAAAAGGCUUUCCAACAACCCAUGCUAGCAACAUAAUCUUACAAUUGGGUGGUAAGCCUUCGAUAAACGGAUCCGUAAAACAUUCAGACAUACUCAUACACUCAACUUCAAUAGCUUGAUCCUGGAUUCUAUCUUUCACAACAAAAAACAUAUUGUCAAUGGUUUUGGCAACGCCAUUUGACUUGUUGUUACUCACAAAGAAAAUUGCACAUUCAUAUUGCAGUAGGUGGUUUAGAAAUGUUGUCUACCACCAUAAUUUCGAGAAUAAAACUUAUUUGACAUACAACCUGCUCAGUAGCCUCUUAACAUGCCACAUAAUAAACUGCAUCAUUACUGAUGCCAUCAUUGUCAUUAUGGAGAUUUUCCACGAUAUAGCUCCAUAUGCGAGGGUGGGGAUGUAACAUAACGUGGAAACUCAAUAUCCGCACACCUCGCAGAAAACAAUGUCUGAAUAGCCUACGAUAUUGAGGUUACUAAGACCUCUUAUUAUUGAGCAUGUAAACUUUAUUGCCUUGAUUUACUGCGAAACUUUUCAACGGCCUUUCGAGUUGUCCAUUUCUGAACUUGUACAUUUGCCAAUUAUCCCGAUCAUAAAUAGGGCACAUUUAUACUUGAAUACUUAUAUUGCUUCUGACAGCUAAAGCAUAAGGAACUAACAUUAUCUGAUCAGUUCAUAAUGGUUCCUUGAACACUAAGAUGUCCACUUUUAUUGCCCUUAACUUUAAUAGCAGGUGAGACAGAGUACUAGUACAUAACCAUUUUUUCGUACUCUAUUGACGUAUGCCAUCAUAAUAAAACUUAUACUCCUUUUGGACCAAUAUCUUGGCAAAACUCAAUACAAGCAAAGUAAUAUGAGGCAUCACCAAGACUCAUACUCAUAAAUAGAAGAUAGAAAUUUCUUGGCUCGACAAAAAUAUUUCAUCUUCACAAGGUAGUGAGCUUACUCCCCCUCGACUUAUGGUAUGAGUGUCCCAGCGCUUGUCUUGUUUCAUAAUUGUAUUUCUUUGAAUAAUAUGCCUCAUGUCAACUUUAUCUUCAUGACGGAACCUUACGGUUGAGUCAUACGUACAUUUUUCACUCAGCCAACACAAGAGCAUGUUAUAAUAAUAACACAAGCGUCACAACAACUCACCAAGAAAACUCUAUUGAGUUACAUCAUUAUAGCUCAUAACUUCCAUCCUAUAUGGCAAGAACGCGCUAAGAUGAUCAUUCACACACAUUAUUAAACGCAGGGAAAUUGUUAAGGCUCAACACUAAGUGUUGCAUUAGGAAUUUCUUCUCAAAUUACCUAAUGCAUAUGAACAAAGAUCUAAUGGAGUUAUCCUUAAGAUUCAUAUUCACAUGCUCCAGGUUCCUUGAUAAUCACUUUAAAAAUGGAGAACAUAAAUCCAAAAACUUGAUGACAAUCAUCUUAGCUCUAAACCACAACACCGUUGGGUAGAAGAUGGCAAAGAACUUCAUGAGUUGCGACACAUGAUUAUAAAACAACGUUGGUUAGAAAUAUAAACAUGAGCCACAUGAUACUGACAAACUUGCCACUUCAAUAAAGUGUGACACAUGAUUAUAAAUGACGUUGGUCAGAAGUAUAACCGCAGUAACAUCAUAAUCAACAUUAGAUUAGCAAGCUUGCCACUUCAACAUUCAUGUGUGCUUCAUAAUUCUCAUAAGGGAGCAAGUACAUGUAGUUUCUCAUUAAAAAAAAGUCAAGACAUUCAUGUGAUCUUUCACUCACUAUAAUCAUUCAUUCUCUUCAUGUGAUCUUUCACUCACUAUAAUCAUUCAUUCUCCAAAAUAAGACUUCUCGUUGGUUCCAUCCUACUCGGAGAAUUAAUUGAUGCGUUCAUCAUUUCCAAUAUUCAAUGAGACAUUCCAUUCUUCCCCUCGAAAUGUGGUAAACAUGACCACAAUUUCAACGAGGUCUCAUUAUUCACAUACACCUUAAGAGUGCCAUGGCACAUAUCAUUAUUGAAAAUAAUUCAUUCAUAAAUAUUCUCACCACAUGGUAAGACGAUCAUAAAAGGGUUGAUUAUGAAGGACAAAAGGUUCAUAUGAAUAAACAAAAUGUCUUCUAUUGCUUUAUUCUUUAUUGUCCUCGUAGCAAAACCCCUUAAAGCCGAUCUUCAAUGGGUAAAUAUCUUUAAAAUGUUCCUUAAUAGAGCCCAAGUACUUAUUGACAUAUACUAAAAAAAUACAUUCUUUAUCUCAGAGGAGAUGGUAUGCUUCAUGAUAAGGAGUGAAAUAUGGUUUCUCCCACUCAAUUGCUUUCAGGUCAUACUUUUCCAUCUUGUCAUCAGAGUUCACAAUAGAAAACUCAUGAAGGUCCAAAACCUCUAUCAUUAAGAGAGCCCUUUCCUUCCAUUUGUGAAGAUCAACUCCAUUGUUCAAAUAAAUGAACUCAACUUUGUGGUCCAUUGCUAAACAAGGACACGAUUUUAUGAGCAUCAUUAUUAAACAUCAAACAAAACACUUGAAUGGCCUCAAUCAAAACAAGAUACUCAUGUUCUAAUCCGUAUCACCGUUGGGUUGAAAACGGAGAAGAUCACUUUUGAUCCAAAAUUUGGACAUGACAAUAAUCAACGUUUGUCAGAAUAUUGUCAUAUACCAUAAAACAUAUGCUCAUAAAUGACAUCUCUAACAAAAACUUCCUAUUUUGGCUCUAGAAACUUCGAAUCACAUAAUGAUCAGCAAACUUAUUACUAAAUUAGUAGCCAACAUUAACAUAAAGCACCAUUAUAUGGUGCAAUCCUAUGUGUUAUCACAAACAUGGAUUCAUAAUUUAUCACUGAUCAUCUUACAUUAAACUUUGACAUCAUAAUGUCAAUAAUAUCAAUAAAAUAUGUCAAGGUUUAUCAUUAAAAAACUUCAAUCACAUCAGAGUAAACAUUAGAUUGACACCCUUUGUGUAAUGACACCAUAAACAUUCUCCAAACAAAAUUUGGAUAUUACACCAUGCUUUCACCGAAUAAUAACAUUUGGUAAAAAUUUAGCAGUCAAUAAAUGACAGCUCAUGACCAUGAUAUGACAUUAAAUUUCUCUAAAUAUUCUUCUUCUGUGAAUCAUUAUGCCGAGCCUCCGUCACCUUCUGUCAAUGCAUGCCAAAAGACACAAAAUGCACCUCACAUAGUGGUUUAACAUUAUGGCUCAUCAUCAUUAGACUGCGUAGUGCGGUGCGGAAAAGCCGAACCACGCGGCCACUAACACUUCCUUAAGAUGGCCUCGGCCAGACUUGAGAGAUGAUCACAACUUAAACUUCAUGCUCAAAUAAAAUCUUCGAACAAAAUGUCCAGAAACUUUAGAGAGGUACACGUAAUCAUGCAAAUAAAAUCAUCUCAUCACGUUAAUAAUUCAACAUUAAAAUGCUAUUAAAGAGAGAUUAUCACUAAAAAAUAAUACCAUAUAAAUAACAUCAUAAUCUCAUAGCAUUAUUCACCCCUUAAAUUUCAGACAUUCUCCAAUUUAAAACAGUACAUAAGACAUUAUUUGAAAAAUUCAAACUCCAUAAACUGUACUGAAAACAAGAAAAUGCCUGAAUAAUUCAUCAUACAUAUUGGCCACAUCAUUCUCAUAUUAAAUAUAAAUUUGACAACAUUAAUUUUCAAUGUCAAUAGAUAUUUAAAAUGAUACUCAACAUUAAAUUUCAUGUGUCAAAAUAAAACAAAAAAUAUUUCUUAUUGGCUCCUUUUAAUUCUGUAAAAAUAACAUAAUUUUCUAGCUAUUUUCAUUUUAAAACAGUGCAAGACAUUUUGAGAAUCAUCAUAAUACAAAAUAGCACUGAAUAAGGGAAAAUACACAGAACAUCAGAAUUGGCCCAUGAAAACCACGUCAGACUUUUAUUGAUUCGGCCUAGGAGAAAAGAUUCAGAGGAAAGAAAAAAUCCUCCCGGGCUUAGACAAACUCGGCCGAAGCCCAGCCGCAAAAGCGGCUUGUAAGACUCCCGAAGGCCCAUGCGGCCACCGCCUUGAUCGUGGCCGUACGAUCGAAUCGGACGGACCAGAUCGAUCUCUAGUGGAACAAAACCGCCACCAGUCGAAACCCUAGCCCUCAUUUUUCUCCAUCCAUCCCGAUUUUCUCGCUCUCUCUAGAGGAGUGGUCCAACUGCGGCGGCGACGGUGAGGUGCGCACACACAAGAAGACACGGCGGCGCGAGGCACGCCGGACAUGGCGACGCGGUAGCUUCGCUCGCCGGAGCAGCGUGCACAAGGACUUGGUCCGGCGCGCUCCUCCGUCGAGCGUAGCUCCGGAGACGCGACCACGUAGCCGAGGCGUUUACGGGCAUUUCGCCGGCGGCUGCCGGCGCACGCUUUGACGGCGACGGCGAGGAACAAGGCACGAAGUCCAGCAGCGGUUGCAUCUUCUUUCCGCGCCGUAACGAGAGACAGCGGCGUUCCGGCCAUGGCGUACACGCACGGCGGUGGCCGUGGCCGUGCGGACCCUAAGGCCGGCAUGCUCAUAAACGUAAGAUCCAGCCCCUCUUUAGUUUCUUUUCUUUCGAUUUGAGGCAUGGGAUUGACUUUGUAGGGUUCCCAAAAAUUUGGGGAUUGACUAGAGUUAGGGUUCGUCUGAAUUGGGGCUUUCUUUAAUUGCGCCAAUUCAUCAUAUUCUAAUGGCUAACAGGGGCUAGUUAUCAUGAUUACAUUAACAUUAUGCGGAAGCAUGGCAAAAUAAUAAUAAUUAGACUAGCCGAACGGGUUAAUCAUCAUUAUUCUCUGAUUAGGACUAAACCCCCUAGCGAAUUAGAUCUUGACCGAAAAGCACAAACCCUAAAGAUGGCUAAAACCAACAGUCUAAACUUAAUCAUUAACCUUAAACAAUGAUCAUCUGAACUUAAUUGUUGAUAUUAACAUAAUUAGAUGAUCAUUAGGGAUCUAAUCUAGGCUUACACGGCUCAAGAUACCAUUGUUAGGAAAAAUCUUUAGGUUUAUUGCAAUCGGAUUAUUUGCCUAGCAUUAGAUCACCUAAGAUAUGAUUAACAAAGAGGUUUGUGAGAUCUUACAGGCUUGCUCGAUGCAGGCACAGCGGAGCCCAUGAUCUCAAGUGGCGAGGAUGAGCAGCACCAGUGGCGCCAAGGUGAUGUAGUCGUGGAGAGGCAGCAGCUCACCCAGGAGCUUCGCGGUGGCAGCAGGAAACCGCCGGCACAGCCUUGCGGCGGCUGGCGAUGGAAACGGCCUUCCCAUUGCAUAACACACCCCUAGAUCGGUAGGUUUGAGGGAAUUAAGGGGCUAGAUAUCAUGUACGUGAACUCAGGUGCCAUAAGUAUCCAUGCCCCGCCUUUUAUAUGUGUGCUCGCAAUAGGGAACCAAAACCAUCUGUUGGUUAGAGGUGCCCCCGAUCAGGGCGAUUCUGUUGGGGUCAACAACCACGUACGUUGGUUCGUGGCCCAUACCCUUAACGAUACUUUUUACCCGGUCAAAGCCGAGAUCAACCAACACCUGCUCCUCCACCUCCUCAGGCUGAUUUGCUGCAGAUGUGGCUGAUUUGCUGGUUACGGUUGUACCCACAACCUACAGAGACGAAUCGAGCGUUAGAGAGAGAGCAGGACAGAGGAGAGGGGAGAGGAAGCGGUGGCUUACCACCUACACCUGACCUGCGCAGGGGAGGGGAGCUAGAAGAGCCGCAACAUCUUCUCCAUGGGAUGGGCCUGCACACAAUCACGCAUCAGAGGAAGAUGAAAACCAGAGGAAGAAGAAGAAGAAGAAAAGGUAAGGAAGGAUGCAUACCGAGGCUCUUGACGGGAUCCUGCGGAUCUGAGCUGCGGGCUCGAGCUUGGCCACGGCCGCCGCCGCGCUCACCAAUGCACCGAUGGGGGACGCGCCGCUCCCGUCCGGCCCUGAAGGAUCUGAGCUACGGGCUCGAGCUCGGUCACGGCCGCCGCCGCACUCACCAACGCGCCGAUGGGGGACGUGUCGCUCCCGUCCGGCCCUGAAGACCCCGUCGGCUCGGAGGAAUCGAUCCCGCGAGGGGCGAAUCCACCGGCCACGGGAGAGAAGGUGAGGGGAUUGGGAGAAGGUGAGGGCCGGCAGCAACGGGGAGAGGGUGGGGGCGCGGUGGGGGUGGUGGUGGACGACGGCGGCGACGCCGGGGAAGUGGGCGGCGGGGGAGGGGGCUAGGGUUAGGGGA
rnacentral:lncRNA from 1 species